rnacentral:rRNA from 1 species
UACGGAGGGUGCGAGCGUUGUUCGGAUUCAUUGGGCGUAAAGGGUGCGUAGGUGGCGCGGUAAGUCGGGUGUGAAAUCUCGGAGCUUAACUCCGAAAUUGCAUUCGAUACUGCCGUGCUCGAGGACUGGAGAGGAGACUGGAAUUCAUGGUGUAGCAGUGAAAUGCGUAGAGAUCAUGAGGAAGACCAGUGGCGAAGGCGGGUCUCUGGACAGUUCCUGACACUGAGGCACGAAGGCCAGGGGAGCAAACGGG